rnacentral:rRNA from 1 species
UACGGAGGGUGCGGGCGUUGUCCGGAAUCAUUGGGCGUAAAGGGCGCGUAGGUGGCCCGGUCAGUUCGUGGUGAAAGCGCGGGGCUCAACCCUGCGUCGGCCAUGAAUACUGCCGCGGCUGGAGCACUGUAGAGGCAGGCGGAAUUCCGGGUGUAGCGGUGGAAUGCGUAGAGAUCCGGAAGAACACCGGUGGCGAAGGCGGCCUGCUGGGCAGUAGCUGACACUGAGGCGCGACAGCGUGGGGAGCAAACAGG